rnacentral:rRNA from 1 species
GAUGAACGCUGGCGGCGUGCCUAAUACAUGCAAGUCGAGCGAACAGACGAGGAGCUUGCUCCUCUGACGUUAGCGGCGGACGGGUGAGUAACACGUGGAUAACCCACCUAUAAGACUGGGAUCACUUCGGGAAACCGGAGCUAAUACCGGAUAAUAUACUGAACCGCAUGGUUCAAUAGUGAAAGACGGUUUUGCUGUCACUUAUAGAUGGAUCCGCGCCGCAUUAGCUAGUUGGUAAGGUAACGGCUUAGCAAGGCAACGAUGCGUAGACGACCUGAGAGGCGGAUCGGCCACACGGGAGCGGGGACGCGGACCAGACGCCUACGGGAGGGAGCAGUAGGGAAUCGUCCGCAAUAGGCGAAAACAUGGCGGAGCGGCGCGGAGUGAGUGAUGGAGGUCUCCGGUGCGUAAAGCUCUGUUACGAGGGAAAAACAAAUGUGUAAGUAAAUAUGCCCUUCUUGACGGUACCUGGUAAGGAAGCAACGGCUAACUACGUG